UUUCCAAUAAUACCCCUUUCAAAAAUUCUUGGGCGAAGUCCUCCCCAACCGGUUAGGCCGUUGACGCCCAUCCUCCUCAUUUCUACAGAAUCCUCACAGCUUGGCUGAUUGCGUCUUCAUUUAGCAGCUGUAAUGAUUUUGUAGAAAUUGAUCGAUCAUGGAGAUCUGAUUUCACUCGGCGAGUUCAUCUCCUCGCUCUAAAAAAAAAAUUCUCGUUUGGUGGUUCUGGUUGUCUAGGGUUUCUAAUUUUUGUUUGGUGGUCCCUUAAUCUUGCAACUGAAAUGCUUCAGUGUUCUUCCCUCAGAUUUCGAUUCAACCUCCGGCGCAGUUGUAAUUUCAUCUCUCUUUCACUAGAUGGUAUGCUGGAGAUUCUCUGGGCUUUUCACUUGUUCUGUAUCCUUUCUCAAUCCUUCGUAGUUGAACUUGCGUGAGUGCGACUCAUUCUCUUGUUUUUUAUUCGGAUUAUUAAAUUAAUAUUGUAAAAUCUGAAUAAGAUGCAUGAAUUCUCUUAUGGACCUGAGGAAUCCAUUAAUUUAUUUGGAGUAGGAUGUCCUACCUCUUGGAUGUUUAUCUGUCACCCAAUGGUUUGAUUGUGUCGAUGGAAAUGAAUUGGAGCUUAUACUUGUUUUAAAACCUUGAAA